rnacentral:rRNA from 1 species
UGGGGAAUAUUGCACAAUGGGCGAAAGCCUGAUGCAGCAACGCCGCGUGAGUGAUGAAGGUCUUCGGAUUGUAAAGCUCUGUCUUUUGGGACGAUAAUGACGGUACCAAAGGAGGAAGCCACGGCUAACUACGUGCCAGCAGCCGCGGUAAUACGUAGGUGGCGAGCGUUGUCCGGAUUUACUGGGCGUAAAGGGUGCGUAGGCGGAUGUUUAAGUGAGAUGUGAAAUACCCGGGCUUAAUUUGGGU